CUUUUAAGGGCCAUUUAUCUUUCCAAAAAAAUCAUCUCUUUUUCCAUAAACUCCACUUUCUCUUCUCUCUUCUAAAAAACCAUUUGUUCUCCCAGAUGUGCCCCCUGCCCCUUGCCAUUCCCUAUUAAAAUGAUGUAUAACUCCUAAUUCUUACAUCCUUGAGUCACAUUUCUGUGUGAACUCCCAUGCUGUAGGUAUUUCUUCCCUCUUGCUAAUCUUCUUUUGUUAGUUUAAUUUGCAGGACCACAAAGACAGAAUCUAAAAGGGUUGAGGAAAGUUUUUACUUACUGGCAAAACCAAUUGCUAAAAAAACAACCCCCCCCCCGAAAAAACCCCAAAUGUUCAUUGAGGAGAAUAAAUAAAUAUUACUUUAUAUAUAGGAAUAUUAAUCAGAUAUAAAAUGGAAAAAGCUCAUAAUAAAUGGAGUAACAGGCGCAAAUCUUACCAAUAUUAUACUAAGUGAAAAAAGACAAAUUCUGGAGAGUACACACUAUAUUAUUCCAUAAUACUCUGUGAUAUAAAUAUUCUAAAUUUUGAUAGAAGUUUGGGUUUCAUGAGUGUAUCCAUUUUUAAAACUCAUAGAAUUUUAAAUUUAUGAUUUUUAAUUUUCACUGUAUAUAAAUUUUACCUAUGUAUUAAUAUAAUUUUGAAUUUUCAAUAAGCUUGCUUUUUAUAGUGAAAUGUAUCAGCAAUUCUGAAAGUAUCUUCUAUGUAUUCUAGGCUUUAGUGAAUGAGUAAAUAUAUUAAGGAUAAUGGAAAGCAGACUUCUCUGUUAAGGAAGCAAGGGAGAAAACUAGAUUACCCUGUGGCAUUGGAAAAGUAUCAGUAUAAAAUAAUUCUGUACAUAGUUUAAAUAUAAAAUGCACAUAUUUAGGAAUAUAUUUAUAUGCAAUAUUACAUAUAAAAUAUAGUACAUAUAAAUAUGCCUAUAUUUAGAUAUUUAUGUGAACAUAGGUACACACUAACCUAUGUUUGCCAGCCCUAUGAACAAAUAGCUGAUGCUGAUAGCAAUUAUGGCAGUCUUGUUUCCUAAGUAUCAUUUUCCAAUAAAUAGAACCAGGGGUGCUAGGAGAAACUAUUGAAUCUCAGGACUUUGCCAGAGAAAGAAAAAGAUAAGCCUGGAACAACUUCUUGCAACAUGAUGAGUAAAGUGCUAAGAGAAUAUUGGAGACAUGUCUGAAAGACACAAGAGUUAAAUUGAAGGGGCUCAAACUUGGUCAAAUCUGGGACAAAUUUAGUAUCAUAAUAAACAGUGAUAGUAAAUAAAACUAGUAGAUUAGAAAGCACUGAAUAAAAUAAGAGCUCAUAAGUCUGUUUAAAGAAAUGAACAAAUAAGUGAAUAAAUAGUCUUAAAGACAACUUUGAAGAUGUGGUAUAUAUACACAAUGGAAUACUACUCAGGCAUAAAAAAAGAACAAAAUAGGAGUUCCCAUCGUGGUGCAGUGGUUAACGAAUCUGACUAGGAACCAUGAGGUUGCGGGUUCGAUCCCUGGCCUUGCUCAGUGGAUUAAGGAUCUGGCAUUGCCGUGGGCUGUGGUGUAGGUUGCAGACGCUGCUCGGAUCCCACGUUGCUGUGGCUCUGGCAUAGGCCAGUGGCUACAGCUCCGAUUGGACCCCUAGCCUGGGAACUUCCAUAUGCCGCCAGAAGCGGCCCUAGAAAUGGC
rnacentral:lncRNA from 1 species